rnacentral:rRNA from 1 species
GGAGCCGCAGCGAAAGCGAGUCUGAAUAGGGCGUUGAGUAUUUGGUCGUAGACCCGAAACCAGGUGAUCUACCCUUGGUCAGGUUGAAGUUCAGGUAACACUGAAUGGAGGACCGAACCGACUUACGUUGAAAAGUGAGCGGAUGAACUGAGGGUAGCGGAGAAAUUCCAAUCGAACUUGGAGAUAGCUGGUUCUCUCCGAAAUAGCUUUAGGGCUAGCCUCAAGUGAUGAUUAUUGGAGGUAGAGCACUGUUUGGACGAGGGGCCCCUCUCGGGUUACCGAAUUCAGACAAACUCCGAAUGCCAAUUAAUUUAACUUGGGAGUCAGAACAUGGGUGAUAAGGUCCGUGUUCGAAAGGGAAACAGCCCAGACCACCAGCUAAGGUCCCAAAAUAUAUGUUAAGUGGAAAAGGAUGUGGCGUUGCCCAGACAACUAGGAUGUUGGCUUAGAAGCAGCCAUCAUUUAAAGAGUGCGUAAUAGCUCACUAGUCGAGUGACACUGCGCCGAAAAUGUACCGGGGCUAAACAUAUUACCGAAGCUGUGGAUUGUCCUUUGGACAAUGGUAGGAGAGCGUUCUAAGGGCGUCGAAGCAUGAUCGCAAGGACAUGUGGAGCGCUUAGAAGUGAGAAUGCCGGUGUGAGUAGCGAAAGACGGGUGAGAAUCCCGUCCACCGAUUGACUAAGGUUUCCAGAGGAAGGCUCGUCCGCUCUGGGUUAGUCGGGUCCUAAGCUGAGGCCGACAGGCGUAGGCGAUGGAUAACAGGUUGAUAUUCCUGUACCACCUAGUAUCGUUUUAAUCGAUGGGGGGACGCAGUAGGAUAGGCGAAGCGUGCUGUUGGAGUGCACGUCCAAGCAGUAAGGCUGAGUGUUAGGCAAAUCCGGCACUCAUAAGGCUGAGCUGUGAUGGGGAGAGGAAAUUGUUUCCUCGAGUCGUUGAUUUCACACUGCCGAGAAAAGCCUCUAGAUAGAUAACAGGUGCCCGUACCGCAAACCGACACAGGUAGUCAAGAUGAGAAUUCUAAGGUGAGCGAGCGAACUCUCGUUAAGGAACUCGGCAAAAUGACCCCGUAACUUCGGGAGAAGGGGUGCUCUUUAGGGUUCACGCCCAGAAGAGCCGCAGUGAAUAGGCCCAAGCGACUGUUUAUCAAAAACACAGGUCUCUGCUAAACCGUAAGGUGAUGUAUAGGGGCUGACGCCUGCCCGGUGCUGGAAGGUUAAGAGGAGUGGUUAGCUUCUGCGAAGCUACGAAUCGAAGCCCCAGUAAACGGCGGCCGUAACUAUAACGGUCCUAAGGUAGCGAAAUUCCUUGUCGGGUAAGUUCCGACCCGCACGAAAGGCGUAACGAUUUGGGCACUGUCUCAACGAGAGACUCGGUGAAAUCAUAGUACCUGUGAAGAUGCAGGUUACCCGCGACAGGACGGAAAGACCCCGUGGAGCUUUACUGUAGCCUGAUAUUGAAAUUCGGCACAGCUUGUACAGGAUAGGUAGGAGCCUUUGAAACGUGAGCGCUAGCUUACGUGGAGGCGUUGGUGGGAUACUACCCUAGCUGUGUUGGCUUUCUAACCCGCACCACUUAUCGUGGUGGGAGACAGUGUCAGGCGGGCAGUUUGACUGGGGCGGUCGCCUCCUAAAAGGUAACGGAGGCGCUCAAAGGUUCCCUCAGAAUGGUUGGAAAUCAUUCAUAGAGUGUAAAGGCAUAAGGGAGCUUGACUGCGAGACCUACAAGUCGAGCAGGGUCGAAAGACGGACUUAGUGAUCCGGUGGUUCCGCAUGGAAGGGCCAUCGCUCAACGGAUAAAAGCUACCCCGGGGAUAACAGGCUUAUCUCCCCCAAGAGUUCACAUCGACGGGGAGGUUUGGCACCUCGAUGUCGGCUCAUCGCAUCCUGGGGCUGUAGUCGGUCCCAAGGGUUGGGCUGUUCGCCCAUUAAAGCGGUACGCGAGCUGGGUUCAGAACGUCGUGAGACAGUUCGGUCCCUAUCCGUCGUGGGCGUAGGAAAUUUGAGAGGAGCUGUCCUUAGUACGAGAGGACCGGGAUGGACAUACCUCUGGUGUACCAGUUGUCGUGCCAACGGCAUAGCUGGGUAGCUAUGUAUGGACGGGAUAAGUGCUGAAAGCAUCUAAGCAUGAAGCCCCCCUCAAGAUGAGAUUUCCCAACUUCGGUUAUAAGAUCCCUCGAAGAUGACGAGGUUAAUAGGUUCGAGGUGGAAGCGUGGUGACACGUGGAGCUGACGAAUACUAAUCGAUCGAAGACUUAAUCAAUUUUUAAA